rnacentral:rRNA from 1 species
GAUGAACGCGGCGGCGUGCUUAACACAUGCAAGUCGAACGAAGCUGCCCAAAGGAAGUUUUCGGAUGGAAUUUAGGUAGACUUAGUGGCGGACGGGUGAGUAACGCGUGGAUAACCUGCCUUAUACAGGGGGAUAACGGAGAGAAAUUUCCGCUAAGACCGCAUAAGACCACAGCACCGCAUGGUGCAGGGGUAAAAUAUUUAUAGGUAUAAGAUGGAUCCGCGUCCGAUUAGCUUGUUGGUGAGGUAGAGGCUCACCAAGGCGACGAUCGGUAGCCGGCCUGAGAGGGUGAACGGCCACAUUGGGACUGAGACACGGCCCAAACUCCUACGGGAGGCAGCAGUGGGGAAUAUUGGACAAUGGGGGAAACCCUGAUCCAGCGACGCCGCGUGAGUGAAGAAGUAUUUCGGUAUGUAAAGCUCUAUCAGCAGGGAAGAAAAUGACG